AAACAAACAUGGCCGCCCACUGGCUACCGGUCGUGAAACAAGCCUGAAACGAGAGGCGGAAGUUGUGGUGCCACUGACAGCGUCUGAUUCAGUGUGUCUCCCCCCGGUGGACGGAGGACCGCAGCACAGGCGCCUCUAACGGCUGCAGAUACCUUCAGGUUCAGAGAGUGAAGGUAGCAGUUGCUCCUGAAGGUCAGAGAUUGCAGCAUCUGAGGGCCUCUUCAAAAGAAGACGUAGUUGAUGAAGGCGUUCUGGAGCAGGACCAGAAAUACCACGACCAAGCAGCCUUGAGAUCUUAGGCAGCAUCUCCCUCGGACCAAAGAACUACAGACUCUUCACAACCUGCUCAAACUCUUGGUACAGGACCUCACCACACGGGUCAAGAAGGUUUCCUUCUCAUUUCUACUCUGAAGCUCACCUUCUCCUGCUCAAACUGCUGACAAAUGUUUCUGCUGCACUAAAGUCUGGUCUCCAGAACUUCCUAAA
ensembl:lncRNA